CACUGUAUGGUUUUUGGAUAAAGCCUGCGAGUUAGUGUUAUGUCGCGAGGUUAACCCGUGUGGGGUAUCCGUAGCGAAAGCGAGUCUGAAUAGGGCGUUUGAGUGGCAUGACCUAGACCCGAAGCGGAGUGAUCUAUCCAUGGCCAGGUUGAAGCGACGGUAAGACGUCGUGGAGGACCGAACCCACUUCAGUUGAAAAUGGAGGGGAUGAGCUGUGGAUAGGGGUGAAAGGCCAAUCAAACUCUGUGAUAGCUGGUUCUCCCCGAAAUGCAUUUAGGUGCAGCGUUACGUGUUUCUUGCCGGAGGUAGAGCUACUGGAUGGCCGAUGGGCCUUCACGGGUUACUGACGUCAGCUAAACUCCGAAUGCCGGUAAGUGAGAGCGUAGCAGUGAGACAGUGGGGGAUAAGCUUCAUUGUCGAGAGGGAAACAGCCCAGACCACCAACUAAGGCCCCUAAGCGUGUGCUAAGUGGGAAAGGAUGUGGAGUUGCUUAGACAACCAGGAGGUUGGCUUAGAAGCAGCCAUCCUUGAAAGAGUGCGUAACAGCUCACUGGUCAAGUGAUUCUGCGCCGAUAAUGUAGCGGGGCUCAAGUACACCGCCGAAGUUGUGGCAAUGAUCUUUUUGGAUUGUUGGGUAGGGGAGCGUCGUGUGGCCGGUGAAGCUGCGGUGUAAACCAGUGGUGGAGGCUAUGCGAGUGAGAAUGCAGGCAUGAGUAGCGAAAGAUGAGUGAGAAACUCAUCCGCCGGAUGAUCAAGGGUUCCAGGGUCAAGUUAAUCUGCCCUGGGUUAGUCGGGGCCUAAGGCGAGGCCGACAGGCGUAGUCGAUGGAUAACGGGUUGAUAUUCCCGUACCGGUGAAAAACCGCCCAUACUGAUAUUGUGAUGCUAACCAUGCGAAGCAUGAUGUGCAGGCUUUUGUUUGUGUGUUGUGUGGGUUGUGGGACCCGAUCUUUGGAGGUAAACGUGUUAACAGGUGUGACGCAGGAAGGUAGCCAAGCCACGCGAUGGUUGUCGUGGUCUAAGCGUGUAGGGUUGUCGGUUGUUAAAUGCGCCGGCUGUGUGCCUGAGACGUGAUGGGACCCUGUUUUUGGGGGAUUUGGUGAUCCUAUGCUGCCGAGAAAAGCAUCGGCGUGAGGUUUUAGCCGCCCGUACCCUAAACCGACACAGGUGAUCAGGUAGAGAAUACUAAGGCGAUCGAGAGAAUCAUGGUUAAGGAACUCGGCAAAAUGCCCCCGUAACUUCGGGAGAAGGGGGACCUUGAGCGUGAUGGGCACUUGCUGCCUGGAGCGUGUAUGGGUCGCAGAGACCAGGGGGAAGCGACUGUUUAUCAAAAACACAGGUCCGUGCGAAGUCGUAAGACGAUGUAUACGGACUGACUCCUGCCCGGUGCUGGAAGGUUAAGAGGAUUGGUUAGCCUUUUUUGGGCGAAGCUGAGAAUUUAAGCCCCAGUAAACGGCGGUGGUAACUAUAACCAUCCUAAGGUAGCGAAAUUCCUUGUCGGGUAAGUUCCGACCUGCACGAAUGGAGUAACGACUUCCCUACUGUCUCAACCAUGAACUCGGCGAAAUUGCAGUACGAGUAAAGAUGCUCGUUUCGCGCAGCAGGACGGAAAGACCCCGUGACCUUUACUAUAGUUUGGUAUUGGUGUUUGGUUUGGCUUGUGUAGGAUAGGUGGGAGACUGUGAAGCAUGGACGCUAGUUUGUGUGGAGUCGUUGUUGAAAUACCACUCUGGUCAAUCUGGAUGUCUAACUUCGGGCCAUGAUCUGGUUCAGGGACAGUGCCUGAUGGGUAGUUUAACUGGGGCGGUUGCCUCCUAAAGUGUAACGGAGGCGCCCAAAGGUUCCCUCAGCCUGGUUGGCAAUCAGGUGUUGAGUGUAAGUGCACAAGGGAGCUUGACUGUGAGACUGGCAGGUCGAGCAGGGACGAAAGUCGGGACUAGUGAUCCGGCGGUACGUUGUGGAACGGCCGUCGCUCAACGGAUAAAAGGUACCUCGGGGAUAACAGGCUGAUCUUGCCCAAGAGUCCAUAUCGACGGCAUGGUUUGGCACCUCGAUGUCGGCUCGUCGCAUCCUGGGGCUGGAGUCGGUCCCAAGGGUUGGGCUGUUCGCCCAUUAAAGCGGUACGCGAGCUGGGUUCAGAACGUCGUGAGACAGUUCGGUCCCUAUCCGCUGCGCGCGUUGGAAAUUUGAGAAAGGCUGUCCUUAGUACGAGAGGACCGGGACGGACGAACCUCUGGUAUGUCAGUUGUACCGCCAGGUGCAUGGCUGAUUGGCUACGUUCGGGAGGGAUAACCGCUGAAAGCAUCUAAGCGGGAAGCCUGUUUCGAGAUGAGAUUUCCUGGCACUUUUGGUGUGUGAGGCUCCUUAUAGAUGAUGAGGUUGAUAGGCCGGGUAUGGAAGCGGGGACUGAAGACUCGUGGAGUUGACUGGUACUAAUAGGCCGAAGGCUUACUUUU
rfam:Rothia mucilaginosa DY-18 DNA, complete genome.